CUCCCCUCCACUGAGCACAUCCACAUGGAAUGUUGUCGCUGGAAAGCAGCAUCCAUCAUCACAGACCCCCAACCACACAGGUCGUGCUCUCUUCUCACAGCUGCCAUCAGGAAAAAGAUGUCCAGGAUUGGCAGGUUUCCUGCUUUUCAAUGUCUGAAAAUAUAUUGACCUGGAAUUUGUGGUCAACAAUAUGGCAACACUGGCCUCACAGGACACUGCUCACAAAAAUCUCACAGCAUCUGAAUCAUGGACUUCAUCUGUCGUUGCUACACAUUGGGACAAGACGUUUCCUGAGAUGCCAUACCAUGAGAAGCCCAUUAAGUUAAAGAAUUCCACAAGACAACAGAUGCUCUGGUUUCCUGCCUCAUCCCAAAGGUGGAUGGGAACGCUAUGUUGAUUGGCCACUACCCCGGGGGUAAGAACAUAGAAGAAUCUGUGGGGAAUUUAGAAAUGUGCAAAGAGUGAAAUGCAAU